UACGGAGGGGGCUAGCGUUGUUCGGAAUCACUGGGCGUAAAGCGCACGCAGGCGGAUAGACAAGUUGGGGGUGAAAUCCCGGGGCUUAACCUAGGAAUUGCCUUCGAUACUGUAGGGCUCGAGUCCGGGAGAGGUGAGUGGAAUUCCUAGUGUAGAGGUGAAAUUCGUAGAUAUUAGGAAGAACACCAGUGGCGAAGGCGGCUCACUGGCUCGGUACUGACGAUGAGGUGCGAAAGCGUGGGGAGCAAACAGG
rnacentral:rRNA from 1 species